rnacentral:lncRNA from 1 species
CACACACGCACUCACACCAGGCUCACACUCACUCAUGCACACACAUACUCAUAUACAUACGCACUCACGCCAGGCUCACACCAUCCUCUCUACACACUCACUCAUGGACACAUGCACACACACUCAUAUACAUACACACGCACACCAGGAUCACACCAUCCUCUCUGCACACUCACUCAUGGACACACAUGCACACACAUAUACAUACACACGCAUACCAGGCCCACACAAUCCUCUCUACACACUCAUGGACACACAUGCACACACACACUCAUAUACAUACGCACUCACAUCAGGCUCACACUAUGCUCUCUACACACUCAUGUACACACAUGCACACACACAUACAUACACACACCAGGCUCACACCAUCCUCUCUACACACAUGUACACACAUGCACACACAUACAUACACAUGCACCCCAGGCUCACACAAUCCUCUCUGCACACUCAUCCUCUCUGCACAUGCACUCAUGUACACCCAUGUGCACACACAUAUACACACAUACAUAUGCAUGCACUCAGUGUAGUCAUACAUCCACAUACAUUCACAUGCAUGCACACUCAUACACUGCACACAGAUGUUCACACACACAUACACACACAUGCACAUGCAUAUACAUGCAUAUACAGGUAGAUUAACAUGCACACAUGCAACACAACACUCCUAUGCAUAUACACACACACCCACACUCACUCUCAUACAUGCUCACACAUCCACACACUCAUGCACAUUCACACACUCUCAUACACAUGCACAUCCACACUCAUACACAUUCAUACACUCACACACACAUCCACUCAUACACACACAUCCACACUCGUACACUCACUCAUACACAUCCACACUCUUACACUUACACAUCCACACACUGUCACACUCUCAUACACACUCAUACACGCUCACACACACGCUCACUCUCAUACACACACACUCUCCCACACAUCCACACUCACUCUCAUACACACACAUCCACACUGUCACACACACACAUCCACACUCACUCACUCUCAUACACACACAUGCACACACACGCACAAAUCUCCAGUAUCCUGUUGCUCACACUAGUGAGCAGGGGACGUUUCCUCCCUCCCCCUCUCCUCAGGAUGCUCCCCGCACCCCUUCCCC